AGAGUUUGAUCCUGGCUCAGGAUGAACGCUGGCGGCGUGCUUAACACAUGCAAGUCGAACGAGAGGAAGGAAAGCUUGCUUUUCUGAAUCUAGUGGCGAACGGGUGAGUAACACGUAGGUAACCUGCCCAUGUGCUCGGGAUAACUUCUGGAAACGGAUGCUAAAACCGGAUAGGUAGCAGACAAGCAUUUGACUGCUAUUAAAGUGGCUAAGGCCAUGAACAUGGAUGGACCUGCGGUGCAUUAGCUAGUUGGUGAGGUAACGGCCCACCAAGGCGACGAUGCAUAGCCGGCCUGAGAGGGCGGACGGCCACAUUGGGACUGAGACACGGCCCAAACUCCUACGGGAGGCAGCAGUAGGGAAUUUUCGUCAAUGGGGGGAACCCUGAACGAGCAAUGCCGCGUGAGUGAAGAAGGUCUUCGGAUCGUAAAGCUCUGUUGUAAGAGAAAAACGACAUUCAUAGGGAAUGAUGAGUGAGUGAUGGUAUCUUACCAGAAAGUCACGGCUAACUACGUGCCAGCAGCCGCGGUAAUACGUAGGUGGCGAGCGUUAUCCGGAAUGAUUUGGCGUAAAGGGUGCGUAGGUGGCAGAACAAGUCUGGAGUAAAAGGUAUGGGCUCAACCCGUACUGGCUCUGGAAACUGUUCAGCUAGAGAACAGAAGAGGACGGCGGAACUCCAUGUGUAGCGGUAAAAUGCGUAGAUAUAUGGAAGAACACCGGUGGCGAAGGCGGCCGUCUGGUCUGUUGCUGACACUGAAGCACGAAAGCGUGGGGAGCAAAUAGGAUUAGAUACCCUAGUAGUCCACGCCGUAAACGAUGAGAAC
rnacentral:rRNA from 1 species